GAGGCCUCGAAGAAGAGAGCUCUAAUUCAUAAGGAAUUUGAAAGCUGGGGAAAUAAAGCAGCUUGAGAUCUGUCAGGUUUCCUGAGUGUGGAAAAGGGAUGGUCUGAAGCGUUGAGCUGUAUUUCCGAGAUGGAUUCUCUGCUUGGAGAGAAACUCAGCUGAUUCCUCUCGUCCCACGUCUCCUUUUGCCCUUGUCCCCAGAGCACAGCUGAUAACACUCUGUCCAUCCAUUACAGCUCAUUAAAAAUUCAGGAUGAAUCCUGCUUUUCAUUGUGCAGCCUCCAAAUUCACCACGCACCUGAGAAAAAGUGAUCACAGAGCUGUGAUUUCCUCAGGCUUCAGCCAGCACGUGGGAACACUUCAAGGAAUGAGCACCAGGAUUUUCCUGGAUUUCUUGCAUCCUUCGGAGAGAGCCACGGAAUGGGAGGAAAAUAUUAACGAGGAGCACCUGGGUGUUGUCAGCCCAACCUUAGGGCAGAAGAAGCAGAAUAGAGACGCAAAACACGAAUUUUAAUCGAUUCCUCUGCGGGAAAUCCUCCUUUCCCGUGGAAUUUGGGAGAGGAGAGUGAAGGCAGAGGAGCUAAUCGGGUGUCUCAUCUCAAAGAAACCUCGCUCUGAAGGUCCCCGGGUGUCCCUGCAGCACCUCCCGCCGCGGAGCUGGAGGCAAAAAGCAAUUAGAGAACGCGUGUAGAGGGAUGCGGGAUCGCUGCUAAAUACUUAACAACGCUCCUAAAACACGCUGGAAGCGCUGCUGCAGACAAUGGGCGAGCUGUCGGUGCCAGCAGGACAGAGCAGAACACAAAGCCCGGCUUAUCUCGCCGUGCCACAGCUCCCCGGGCAGAGCCGGGCUGCGCAGGAGAGGCUCUGCUCGGAGCUGCCGCCUGCCCCGCGGAGCGGGACACACCAAAAACGGGAUGGGCUGAGCCAGGUGUUGUAAAUGCAGAUAAAAUCGGCUUUUCGCAAAUAUUGAGGUGAACGCUACGUGUGUGAUGUUAAAAUAACUGGUGUUUCUGCUAUUAACGGAACUUAGCGAUGGUAGCAGCGGGUAGCUGAUGUGGUUAGGAGGGAGCUCUCUGUUUGGUCGGGAUAACAUCCAGUGAACAAACAUCUGAUGAGGAUCCUGCUGCUGAGAUCCCAAAUAUCAGCACCAGACAUCUAAACAAAGUAUGGACCAAGGUCCGGACUAGAAGUGGUAAAGAGA